rnacentral:rRNA from 1 species
AUUGAACGCUGGCGGCAGGCCUAACACAUGCAAGUCGAGCGGAUGAAGGGAGCUUGCUCCUGGAUUCAGCGGCGGACGGGUGAGUAAUGCCUAGGAAUCUGCCUGGUAGUGUGGGAUAACGUCCGGAAACGGGCGCUAAUACCGCAUACGACCUGAGGGAGGAAGUGGGGGAUCUUCGGACCUCACGCUAUCAGAUGAGCCUAGGUCGGAUUAGCUAGUUGGUGGGGUAAAGGCCUACCAAGGCGACGAUCCGUAACUGGUCUGAGAGGAUGAUCAGUCACACUGGAACUGAGACACGGUCCCGACUCCUACGGGAGGCAGCAGUGGGGAAUAUUGGAAAAUGGGCGAAAGCCUGAUCCAGCCAUGCCGCGUGUGUGAAGAAGGUCUUCGGAUUGUAAAGCACUUUAAGUUGGGAGGAAGGGCAGUAAGUUAAUACCUUGCUGUUUUGACGUUACCAACAGAAUAAGCACCGGCUAACUUCGUG